UACAGAGGUCUCAAGCGUUGUUCGGAUUCAUUGGGCGUAAAGGGUGCGUAGGUGGCGCUGUAAGUCGGGUGUGAAAUUUCGAGGCUUAACCUCGAAAUUGCAUUCGAUACUGCGGUGCUUGAGGACUGGAGAGGAGACUGGAAUUCAUGGUGUAGCAGUGAAAUGCGUAGAGAUCAUGAGGAAGACCAGUGGCGAAGGCGGGUCUCUGGACAGUUCCUGACGCUGAGGCACGAAGGCCAGGGGAGCAAACGGG
rnacentral:rRNA from 1 species